rnacentral:rRNA from 1 species
GUGUCAGCCGCCGCGGUAAUACGAAGGGGGCUAGCGUUGUUCGGAAUCACUGGGCGUAAAGCGUACGUAGGCGGAUCGUUAAGUCAGGGGUGAAAGCCUGGAGCUCAACUCCAGAACUGCCUUUGAUACUGGCGAUCUUGAGACCGGGAGAGGUGAGUGGAACUGCUAGUGUAGAGGUGAAAUUCGUAGAUAUUAGCAAGAACACCAGUGGCGAAGGCGGCUCACUGGCCCGGUACUGACGCUGAGGUACGAAAGCGUGGGGAGCAAACAGGAUUAGAUACCCCCGUAGUCC